ACUAACCUGUUACAGGCUAACAACUGAAUGGCUGUUAUGGACUUACUGCAUACACCUAUCAUUUUGCACUAUGGUAAGGUGUAGACAAAAUUUCAGUGAGUUACAUGCAUUUGGGGCCUAGUACUUUGUUCUACUACUAUUGUGCUUUAAAUCCCAACAGUACCCAAAAAAAAAAAAUACAGUUGGCUAU